rnacentral:rRNA from 1 species
AUUGAACGCUGGCGGCAGGCCUAACACAUGCAAGUCGAACGAGUGGCGGACGGGUGAGUAAUGUCUGGGAAACUUCCUGAUGUAGUGGGAUAAAUACUGGAAACGGUAGCUAAUACCGCAUACCAUCAGCUGUGCCCAGAUGGGAUUCGCUUGUUGGUGGGGUAACGGCUCACCAAGGCGACGAUCCCUAGCUGGUCUGAGAGGAUGACCGGCCACACUGGAACUGGGACAGGGGCAGACUCCUACGGGAGGCAGCAGUGGGGAAUAUUGCACAAUGGGCGCAAGCCUGAGGCAGCCAUGCCGCGUGUAUGUAGAAGGCCUGCGGGUUUUAAAGUACUUUCAGCGGGGAGGCGGUACCCGCAGAAGAAGCACCGGCUAACUACGUGCCAGCAGCCGCGGUAAUAC